rnacentral:lncRNA from 1 species
AAAAUAAAACUUUUAUAAAAACACUUCAUUCUAAGUUUCAGUCCAUUCCUCCANCGUCCAGACAANCACACCUNUNCUUCUUCUUCUUCCCUUCAUUCCUCUACCUUCCAUCUACCAUAACUCAGAAUCUAACCGUUUGUUUCUCAAAUUGAAGCUACCUAAGCAUUCAGGACUCCAAGAGCUACGUUUCUACCGAUUGAUUUUNCG